AAGGAAUAUUGGACAAUGGGCGCAAGCCUGAUCCAGCCAUGCCGCGCGCAGGAAGACGGCCCUAUGGGUUGUAAACUGCUUUUGUACGGGAAGAAACACCACUACGCGUAGUGGCUUGACGGUACCGUAAGAAUAAGGAUCGGCUAACUCCGUGCCAGCAGCCGCGGUAAUACGGAGGAUCCAAGCGUUAUCCGGAAUUAUUGGGUUUAAAGGGUCCGUAGGUGGACGAUUAAGUCAGGGGUGAAAUCUUGCAGCUCAACUGUAAAAUUGCCCUUGAUACUGGUUGUCUUGAAUCAUUGUGAAGUGGUUAGAAUAUGUAGUGUAGCGGUGAAAUGCAUAGAUAUUACAUAGAAUACCGAUUGCGAAGGCAGAUCACUAACGGUGCAUUGACACUGAUGGACGAAAGCGUGGGGAGCGAAC
rnacentral:rRNA from 1 species